rnacentral:misc_RNA from 1 species
UUGAAUAACUCGGUUGCUGAUGCUGGCUCGCAAGGGCACGUGCUCGCGCCAUAUUAUUUAUCAAUCUCUUGUGCACCUAUUGUAGUCUUUCCGUGGAGAUCUGGUCGAAGCUCGAUGCUUCAGCCUAACUUCUGUGGAGGGCUAUGUUUCAUACACCUAUAACAAAGUAUCAGAAUGUCUUCUUAUUGACUGCAAAGUCAGUAAAAUCUAUA